rnacentral:misc_RNA from 1 species
GGUGGAGCUAAAAAAGGCAAGUAUUUCAUGCAUUUUAAGUGUUAGUGAAUUUACUCAAAGGCCUAAGUUGUUCUAGCAGAGGCAAGUGAAUGGGACCUUCAACUGCAUGUUAAGGUUUUGAAAUUUGAUGUACUGGAUUUAUGGACUACAUAUAGGUUCUGUUGUGUUUAGGAUCCUCAUCUUUCUAAAUAUUUUUUUCCUAGUUAGUGAAAAUUCUGGUGGACGUAGCACAUUCCUUUUCUGUAGUUGGUGAAAAUCCUGAUAUUAGCACAGUAAUACCCAAUUGGCAAUUACAUCUGUUUGUUCUUCUUUUUCUUCCUUUCUAUUUUCUUGAUCUUAUGACCUCAUGUCUGUCUCAUUCUUUUAGUUUCACUUGUUAAAUUUUGAUAAUUAGUGUUGAAUGGUGUAAGCUACUAUUCCGUGUUCUUCAGAAAUAUGCACAUUGUUUGUGUUUUAUUCUUCUCAUUGUAUCCACAAGGGCGGCAUAAUAUUUUUGUUGCAAUAUGCAUGUUUUUGUCGUGUAUGAACCUAGGACUUUUAACAUCAUCAGUAUCGGCAUUGUACCCAAAAAUUCUUGGUGUAUACCGUGUCAAUGUUUACACUUUGUUGGGGCAUUAAGGAUGCCAGGGAAAGGAAGAGGAGUGGGGAAAGUAAAAACGAAGAAUUGAAUGUUUGAAUGUGUCGCUAAAGAUUGGAGGAAGUUGAGCUUCUUUUAGAAGGUUCGUGUGGGAAAUUAUCAGGGUAAACCUCCUGAUACUAUCAAGAUUCUUGGACUAAUACGUGGGCAUUUCAACUAAUUAAUUAAUCUUACAACAGAUAUAGCUAUGUGUUGUAGCUCCAAGGGCAUACAUUUUGAUGAUCCAUGUGGUUAUUCCCGUCUCUUAUGCAGUGGCAAUAAUGUUGCCGUUGGGACUACCAUCCCUUUGAAAUUAUGUUGACUUUGGUUUCUUUUACUUGCACUGAUGCAGAUACCCCCAACAAGACCCAAAUCUCCCAAGUUAGGUCGAAGGAAGAGUUCAUCUCCUGUAG